AUGCGGCCAGCAUCUGAGUCCGUGUCUAAUGAGACAGAAGCGGCUGCGUGGCUGGAUAACAUCAGCUUCUGCAGCGGCUUCUGUGAGUGGAUCGACGAAGAGUUGAUCGAUUCACUGCCAGCUGACUCCCAGCCGCCUGUCGAGUCAACAAGAGCUUCAGAAGCAGUGAGUGCACAGCCUUGUGCUGAGAAAAGCCCGACAGAGAUUCCUCCUCGAGGCAACAGGAGGAGCAGAAUCCAUGCGUUCUUCAAGAGAGCCUGGAAGGCCGUGAAGAAGCCGUUCCUCCGCUGCAGACGGACACGAGUGGAGUCUGUCCCGGGACCCUCUGAGCUCCAGAACGUGCCUGACACCGAGCCCACAUCUGCCCCAGAUCUCCCCGACUGGAGGCCAACUACCAAAUCUUUGCACAAAUUGUACACACUGCAAGAUCUGAUAGGAACAGGAAGCUACGGCAAGGUGUUCAAGGCAGUGCGAAAAUCAGACGGCCGAGAGGUUGCCAUCAAAAGAACGCAGAAAUGGAGCAACUACUGUUCUCUUCAGAUUGUGAGUUGGCAAAGAGUAAAGAACACAUGUUUGGUUGUUUAA
ensembl:lncRNA